rnacentral:rRNA from 1 species
UACAGAGGGUGCGAGCGUUAAUCGGAGUUACUGGGCGUAAAGGGCGCGUAGGCGGUUUAAUAAGAUUGAUGUGAAAUCCCUGGGCUUAACCUAGGACGUGCAUCGAUGACUGUUAAGCUGGAGUGCGGCAGAGGGGGAUGGAAUUCCGCGUGUAGCAGUGAAAUGCGUAGAUAUGCGGAGGAACACCGAUGGCGAAGGCAAUCCCCUGGGCCUGCACUGACGCUCAUGCACGAAAGCGUGGGGAGCAAAC